UGAUGGAGGCCCUGCCUGGUGGAGGAACUGAUGGAGGCCCUGCCUGGUGGAGGAGCUGAUGGAGGCCCUGCCUGGUGGAGGAACUGAUGGAGGCCCUGCCUGGUGGAGGAUUCCUGUCGUUGGGUAGAUGGAGCCCGACUCUGAAACCAUGAAUCCGUCUGAAGAGAGCUGGUGGAGGAGCUGAGAAGCUGUAAGACGAUUAGGAAUUGACCAUCAAGGAUUCCUCACACACCUGAGCUGAACCUCACCUGAUCCUGCUGGUCACG